UACGAAGGUCCCAAGCGUUAUCCGGAUUUAUUGGGUUUAAAGGGUGUGUAGGUGGUUGUGUAAGUUAGAUGUGAAAUCCCCGGGCUCAACCUGGGAACUGCGUUUAAGACUGCAUAACUUGAGUACUGUAGAGGAUAGUGGAAUUUCCAGUGUAGCGGUGAAAUGCGUAGAUAUUGGAAGGAACACCAGUGGCGAAGGCGACUAUCUGGACAGAUACUGACACUGAGACACGAAAGCGUGGGGAGCAAACAGG
rnacentral:rRNA from 1 species